rnacentral:rRNA from 1 species
CCUACGGGAGGCAGCAGUAGGGAAUAUUGGGCAAUGGGCGAAAGCCUGACCCAGCGACGCCGCGUGAGGGAUGAAGGUCUUCGGAUUGUAAACCUCUUUCAGUAGGGAAGAAGCGAAAGUGACGGUACCUAAAGAAGAAGCACCGGCUAACUAUGUGCCAGCAGCCGCGGUAAU